CAGGCGCACACCUAGGGAAGCCUCCCUGUGGGCAGUGUGAGAGCGAGCUGGCGAGGAGGCGGGCGGGCGGGAGGGCGGGAGGCGGCGAGCCUGCGACGAGGAGAGGCGUGGAGAGGAGAGCCGGGCGCCGAGGACACUCGGGGGAGGAGGCGCCGGGUCUGCUCGCGGAGAGAGACGCGCUAGGCGCCAGCGCAGCCGGAGGGACCCCUUGCGCGCGGAGCAUGAGCCGGCGGCCGGCUGGAGAGCGGCAGGGGGAGACGGCCUCGGCGGAGCCCUGAGACGCUGGGCUGGGGCUGGGCCACUGCGCGCCCGGGGCUGGGUGCGGAGCGUCCCGCGCUGGCGGCUGCGGCCGGGGCGCCAAGCCAUGGGGAGCCCCCGGGCCACGCUGCUCCUGCUGCUCCUGCGCCCGGUCAAGCUGCUGCGGAGGCGCUUCCGGCUGCUGCUGGCGCUUUCCCUGGUGUCCGUGGGGCUGUGGACUCUUUAUUUGGAACUGGUGGCGUCGGCCCAGGUCGGCGGAAACCCCCUGAACCGGAGAUAUGGCAGUUGGAGAGAACUGGCCAAGGCUCUGGCCAGCAGGAACAUUCCAGCUGUGGAUCCAAAUCUCCAGUUUUAUCAUCCCCCGAGGCUGGGCCACCAGGACCAAGACUUGGAGCGAGGUGGGAGUGGUAACAGCAGCUACCUGAAGUGGAAUAAGCCUGUCCCGUGGCUCUCAGAGUUCCGGGGCCGCGCCAACCUGCAUGUGUUUGAGGACUGGUGUGGCAGUUCCAUUCAGCAGCUCAGGAGGAACCUCCACUUCCCACUGUACCCCCAUAUUCGCACCACCGUGAGGAAGCUGGCUGUGUCCCCAAAAUGGACCAACUAUGGCCUCCGCAUCUUUGGCUACCUGCACCCCUUCACCGAUGGAAAGAUCCAGUUUGCCAUUGCUGCAGAUGACAACGCUGAGUUCUGGCUCAGCCGGGACGACCAGGUGUCAGGCCUUCAGCUGCUGGCCAGUGUGGGCAAGACUGGAAAAGAGUGGACCGCCCCUGGAGAGUUUGGGAAAUUUCGGAGCCAAAUUUCUAAGCCAGUGAGCCUGGCGGCCUCCCAGAGAUACUACUUUGAGGUUCUGCACAAACAGAACGACAAGGGCACAGAUCAUGUGGAAGUUGCGUGGCGACGGAAUGACCCUGGAGCCAAGUUCACCAUUAUUGACUCCCCUUCUCUCUCCCUCUUCACAAAUGAGACAGUCCUAAGGAUGGAUGAUGUGGGCCAUAUCCCUCAGACAGCAGCCAGCCACACAGGUUCCCGAGACUCUCUUCCCAGAGAGGAGCUGCCCCUUGCAGACAUGCUGCGGCCUGACCCUCGGGACACCCUCUAUCGAGUGCCUCUGAUCCCCAAGACUCAUCUCCGCCACGUCCUGCCCGAUUGUCCCUACAAACCCAGCUACCUGGUGGAUGGGCUCCCCCUGCAGCGCUACCAGGGACUCCGCUUUGUGCAUCUGUCCUUCGUUUACCCCAAUGACUAUACCCGUCUGAGCCACAUGGAGACCCAUAAUAAAUGCUUCUACCAGGAAAACUCGUACUACCAGGAUAGGUUCAGCUUUCAGGAGUACAUCAAGAUUGACCAGCCAGAGAAGCAGGGGCCAGAGCAGCCAGGCUUUGAGGAAAGCCUUCUAGAAGAAUCCCAGUAUGGAGAAGCGCCAGAAGAGACCCUUGCCUCCAACGUUCAGGAUGCCAGGAUGCCAGAGGGAAGACAAGUGCCUACCUUUCCCCCUGGGCAGGAUGUCACUGACUACCACCUCCGGAAACUCCUGGCUCAGCCCCGGGAGGGUCUGGUGGCACCCUUUUCCAAGCAGAACUCCACAGCUCCCUUCCCUGCAAGGACUAGCGAUGUCCUAGUCCAGCAACCAGAGAAGAGGGAGCGAAGACCCAGCCCUGAGCCCAGCCAGGAUCCAUCUUACUCUCAGAAGUGGCCCCCGGGGCAUCUGGCAGGGAAACUGCCUCCUGUCAAGGGGCCCAGGCCCACUGGGGACAGUCCCAGGAAAACUCUAGGGCAGUCCCAGUGGCUGAAUCAAGUUGAGACAUACAUCGCAGAGCAGAGAAGGGGAGACAGGAUGGAGCCCCUAGCCCCUAGGAGGGGUUGGCAUGGCAAGGAAGACGUCGUGAUUGCUGCAGGCCAGGAAGGACAGGUGGAGGGAGAAGAAGAGGGGGAAGAAGAGGAAGAGGAAGAGGAUAUGAGUGAGGUGUUCGAAUACAUGCCCGUGUUUGACCCAGUGGUAAACUGGGACCAGACCUUCAGUGCUCGGAACCUUGACUUCCAAGCCCUGCGGACCGACUGGAUCGAUCUGAACUGUAACACAUCUGGCAACCUGCUGCUUCCGGAGCAGGAGGCUCUCGAGGUCAUACGGGUCUUCCUGAAGAAGCUCAACCAGAGGAGCCGGGGAAAGUACCAGCUGCAGCGCAUCGUGAAUGUGGAGAAGCGCCAGGACCAGCUACGUGGGGGUCGCUACCUCCUGGAGCUUGAGCUGCUGGAACAAGGCCAGCGCCCAGUGCGGCUCUCCGAGUAUGUGUCUACACGAGGCUGGCAGGGCAUCGAUCCAGCUGGUGGGGAAGAGGUCGAGGCCCGGAACCUGCAGGGCCUGGUUUGGGGCUCAAACAACCGCCGGAGACAUGUCUUGAAUGUCCGGGCCCCGGAGCCCAAACUGUGUUGGCCCCAGGGCUUCUCCUGGAAUCACCGAGCCGUGGUCCACUUCGUUGUGCCUGUGAAGAACCAGGCGCGCUGGGUGCAGCAGUUCAUCAGAGACAUGGAAAAGCUGUUCCAGGCCACCGGCGACCCACACUUCAAUAUCAUCAUCACUGACUACAGCAGUGAGGACAUGGACGUCGAGAUGGCCCUAAAGAGGUCCAAGCUGCGGAGCUACCAGUAUAUGAAGCUGAGUGGAAACUUCGAGCGCUCGGCUGGGCUUCAGGCUGGCAUAGAUCUGGUGAAGGACCCGCACAGCAUCAUCUUCCUCUGUGACCUCCACAUCCACUUCCCAGCCGGAGUCAUCGAUACCAUCCGGAAGCACUGUGUGGAGGGCAAGAUGGCCUUCGCCCCCAUGGUGAUGAGGCUGCAUUGCGGGGCCACCCCGCAGUGGCCUGAGGGUUACUGGGAGGUGAAUGGGUUUGGACUGCUCGGCAUCUACAAGUCAGACCUGGACAGAAUUGGCGGCAUGAACACCAAGGAAUUCCGAGACCGCUGGGGCGGGGAAGACUGGGAGCUGCUUGACCGGUGACUGGGGGAGGAGGGUGUCUGAAAGGGACUGCAGGGAGAGAACAGGGCUAGAUCAGCUGAGGCUGCGGCCAUGGGGCACCAGAUUCCUGAUCUCUGGGCUCAGAGGAAGCCCUGCCCCUCGCCAGGGGUCCUAUUACUCACAUAGCCAAGACUCAGUUUCUGUGUCUAUUAGAAGGGGGAUGAUACUGCCUCCACCUGUGUCACAAGGUUGGAGUGGAGAUUAGAGUGCAUGGUGAGCUGUCAGGGUAAAGUAGAAGCUCACGAGCUGUGUGCAUGUAAAUGCUGAUGCUCUCAGCCCGGGUGUUCUCCAGAUCAGAGCCUUCCUCCUCUGCACCACUGCCCGGCAGGGAAGCUGACAGGAGAGACAGAUGAAGGGUCAGAAAGACUUGGGGCCAGCAUAAGAGACAUUAAGGCCAUUAAAGGGCAGGAUAAUCCAGAUAGGUCCUGGGGCCUUGGAAGCCUGGGAGAAGGGAGUUUCAGGGAGCAAGAAAUAGUCCCAGGGAAGAAGAAAGGAGAACACGGACAGGCCACAGACUUGGGAAACAGCGGCAGGGUUGAGGCAGGCACGGUGGGCCAGGACCCUACUGUAGGGUGGUGAGGGAGCGGAAGCUGUGUUAGUAGGAGAGUCCUCUUUCAAGAAAUUUGCUUUUUAAAAAAAAUUUGCUGCCACGAGGGGUGCCUGGCUGGCUCAGUAGAGAGAGCACGCAGCUCUUGAUCUCGGGGUCGUGAGUUCAAGCCCCACAUUGGGGGUAGAGGUUUUUUAAUAAAUAAAAGUUACAGAAGAAGGAAAGAAAUUUGUUGCCAAGAGAAGGGGAGGGAAAGAGGAUGAUACCUUGAGAUUUGGAUUGAAGGGAAGAGGCGGAGGAGAGAAAGGGAGGGAGACAUCAAAGGAAGAAAGGACCAGGGUUGGCUGUGUAUCACUCUCUCUCUAAAGGAGGAAAAGACUGGCAGACUGAGACUCUGAAAGAUGACAUGCUUUACAAGGAUCCUCCAAGCGGGCCUGGAAGUGGAACGUCUCUCCCUCAGGAAUUUCUUCCAUCACUUCCAUUCCAAGCGGGGCAUGUGGAACCGCCGUCAGAUGAAGAUGCCGUGAUCCCGAGGGGCGGGCUGCUGGACUGACUGCUUCCUGCUCCUUGACUUGUGCUGGCUCCCCAGUGCCCCCUGCUCGCCGCUGGGGGGUGCGGAAGGGGGGCAGAAGCCAUGGCUGAGCCCCGAGAGGCCUCAGAGCUAACACCAUCACCACCCAGAGCUGUUGCCUCACGCAGAGAGCUGCGAAGGCCCCUCUCUCUACCCUCGGGGCCUCUGAAGGGAGGACCUUGGGAGAGGGACCGGGAGGGGGGCCGUUCACUCAGUUGACAGAGAUGGACUGGCUCCUGGGAAAGGCAGCACAGUGCAGUCAAGGAAGGAAAGAUCUGUUUGAGCGCUGCUGACCUAUCCAUGAGGUGCAUUCCAGCACCCCCCACCAGGCUCCUCCUGGGGAGCAGUGACCAUGACCUGGAAACUCUUCUCUUGGACAUAUUCUAUUGGGGUUUUUAUUUUUUCUAACAGAAAACCAAAACCGUACCUGUCCAGACCCUGCCUUGACUGAGAGGGGGAUGGAGUCAUGCAUUUAGGGCAUGUCCCAACUUGCAUACCUCAGACCCACUUCCUUGUAGCGCGACAUGUCCCUCAAGUCCUUGGUCUGGCAGCUGAUUUAUAACCAGAGGAGCUGGCACAGCGUGGAUCCGUUCUCAGCUCUACCCCGGCUGUGCCAUCCAGAGACACGCACAUCUCUCUUGGGGAGCCACAGAACAGCUGGCCGCCAAUUAGGGCAUUAACCUUCUCCUCUGGGUGGUGCUAACUCCAGCCCAGCACAGACUGGCAUCAUCAUGGUGCCUCGGCGGGGUCAGGAGAGAGAGGGCUGGUGGACCGUGGGCUCGUCAUUCCUGGGUGUCUGGCGUAGAGGCGGUGCCAGACCGGCACGGUGGAGAAGGAGGGAAGAGAAGCCCCCGGCCUGGCCUGCCUGCAGGCUGAAGCUUUGGGGAGAACAUGGAGCAGAGAGGAAAGAGGAUGGAGAUGUAACAAAGCUCUGGGCUUAGAAGGGAAGAGGGAGUGGGCAUCCAGCAGGAAAGGGAGAAAGGGAAGUGGAAAAUCGGAGUUCCCCACAGUCCUGCUCCUGAACAGACUUCGCCUCCUUUGGGGAGAUCCCCAGCCCCGGCCUGCCGGGAAGAAGAGGAAGGGGUGUGGACAAGGUGGAGGAACAGGGUCCAGGGUGGGGAGCGGCAGGGCCAUGGGCUUGGGGAGGUAAGGGCAUCGCCCUGAGAUCUCUUCCUCAAUUGGAGAGGAGUGGGGCCAGGAGGAACUGAAAAGUGGAGCCAUUUCAGGAAGCUAGCCCUUGGCCUUUGUAGUCUCUGGCUGCCCUUUCUCACACCCGCUGGUCACACACUUAGUCUUGCACUAAAAGUCCCCAGGUGCCUUCGAGGCUGGGGAUUUUUCUGCCACUGCUGCUGCCUCUGCCGCUGCCGCUGGUUUGACCAGUGGUGCAUUGGACGCUGGCUCUGGCACUCCGGCGUCCGUGGAAGGAGGGGAGCCCGGGGCUCGCUGCUGUGAGGAAUCUCUCGUGGGGAGGCCAGGCUGCUGAGCCCAGGCUCCAUGCUGUGGUAGAGUCCUAGUCACAGCUUUCAGGGCUCCAGCGUCUACCUGGUGGGCCCUGCAUUCACCAAGAGCACACGCUUGGCAUUUAGGAGAAUCAAGCCUUGAGAACCUUCUGGAGGUUGAAGAGAGUUUCAUCUCCCUCUAAAAAAUCAGGAAGAACGAAACUUUCCAAUUAAUGGGCUGUGGCUUCUGGAUGCCAUUCCUGCCCCUUGAGCCCUGGCUUUUCACACGGCCCUCGCUCAGGCCUACUGCCUUUGGGAAAGGGCUAUAUGGAAUAGGUAGAGCUCCAGUUAGCUGGCUGGGCGGGCAGCUUGCUUUCUGGGGCCACCCUUGGGCGUGGCACUGGUAGGCCUGACCCAACUGAGGCAGCUCAGCUGCCUCCAUGCUUUUAAAGGCAGGAGCCAGGCCCGCCUGCCCUGCCCUCCCCUGCCCUGCUCAUGACCCCCUCUGACUCUGGCCAGUGCCUUUCCUUCAAUGUUUGUUACCUCCACACCAUCUGCCUUAAGGGGGAGGGCCCCUACUCUGUAGGGAAAUGGGUUGGGGGGAGGGAGGGAAGUGAUUAAAUACAGCAUCUUCUUAGAAAACGAA